rnacentral:rRNA from 1 species
CCCUUAGAUGCUCUGGGCCGCACGCGCGCUACACUGGUCGAUGCAACGAGUUUCUUUCCUUGGCCGACAGGCCUGGGCAAUCUUUGAACAUCGAUCGUGAUCGGGAUAGAUUCUUGUAAUUUUUGAUCUUAAACGAGGAAUUCCUAGUAAACGCAAGUCAUCAGCUUGCAUUGAUUACGUCCCUGCCCUUUGUACACACCGCCCGCCGCACCUACCGAUUGAAUGGUCCGGUGAAAUCUCCGGACUGGCGUGAGUCGGAGCAAUCUGACAAACACCGGAAAGUUGAUUAAACCUUACCAUUUAGAGGAAGGUGAANUCGUAACA